GCGCAGGCGGGUUUGUUGCUUUUGGGGCUUUGUGCGGUCCUCGCCGCAUCGGAGGAGCCAUAUGUGGUGUACGAAAACGGGGCAACAUCUGAAAGGAAUCUUCGAUUGUGCGUUGGCCCGAGGGAAGCCUGCAAUGUGGUGCGACAACGAUUCUGGUUGUCGCCUAUUGUCCACAGACUAUGCAAAUGUCCUGAUCUCACAGAGUGCCCUGCUGAAUGGACACAUUUCCCUAACAAGAGAACGGUUGCAAUUAAUGCAAGAGCACAGCUAAAAUUAACAACUUGCAAGAGAAAUGAAUUCUGCGGCCACAUAACAACUACUUCAUAUGAAACCUAUCAUACAUGCAGAUGUCCAGCCAGACACAUCUGCGUAUUUCAAGACAGAAAAAAAGUAGAAGCUCAGGAGUUUCUUUAUGAAGGUUUA